CACUGUUGUGUUGCUAUCAGAGAGAAACCACACAGACACAACUUAGCGAGUGAAAAGACAGAGACACUUUCUUGAUUACGCCCCAGAACGACACAGGGGUUGAACACUCACUUCUGGAUUGAAAGAGAAAGAGGCAUAAGGGUUGUUCUGUUUUACCCUCCAGUGUUCCAUGGAGGUUAAUUACUAUUUGGGGUAUUUGGUUGCUGAUUUUGGCCGCCCCGAGCACUGAAACUCAACCUGUUGGACUUUCACCGGGAGAAUGGAAGAUGAAGGCUGCUUUCAACAGUUUAUUAGAACCUGACUCAUAGACUAGAUUGUGCUCUCAUGUGCUAGAGUCACGGUCAAUAACCUCACAUUGAAAUCCUGAGUGAAUUCAAAUCAAAGAGUGGAUGAUUUCAUCGUUUCAAAGGCGGAUGAAGUAAGCUGAGGACAUUUGUGCACCAUCUGCAAUACAAGCUUUUUUUAAAUCACCUUUGAUAACCUGCAACUGACCAGCGUCAGAGAAGGCAAAGCAUGAAGGUGCUGAGUGGUCCACUGGUCGAUCUGACCCUACUGCUCAGACAAACAGUCGGCCAGACAGACGGCUCUAUGCCCUUCGCUUUUCUAGGCCUUGUGCUGUUUGUAUCUGUCUGCCUGCUACUGUGUCAAUUGAUAGUCUACAUUUGGUGGAAACUAGGACAAGUGGACGAGCUGUCGGUGUUUCCGCAGGACAGGGGCGCCAUCUUCAGGCCACUUCACGACACUGCGUCGGCCAAGCGGAGGAGCGCCUGGUCGCAAUACAGCUAAACAGCACAACAAGACUCCAACUAACGAAACGAAUGGCUUCACUUAUCGUUUUCAGAAGGUCAUUGCUGUGGUGUUGUAGGUAGCGGGAAUAUAGUCGGCUUCGGAGCUGUGGCACAGCAGAAUGGCAAAUACAUGUUACAGGACUGGAAAGCACCUUUGGGAAGCAAGUGGCAAUGUUUUAAUAUUAAAUUAAAUAAACCCUAUCAACAAUUCAACCUCCUACCUCUAGCUCCUUACAUCCCAGAGUCACCAUUUUAUCAUUAAAUGGCGAUAAUAUUGUGUUA